GUCCAAGCCGUAAACGAUGAACACUAGGGAGAGGAGACCCCGAUGUCUUCUCUCCUGGAGCAAAUGUUUUAAGUGUUCCGCCUGGGGAGUACAGUCGCAAGGCCGAAACUCAAAGGAAUUGACGGGGCUCACACAAGCGGUGGAGCAUGUGGUUCAAUUCGAAGCAACGCGCAAAACCUUACCUGGGUUUGACAUGCACGGAUUAGCUCGUGGAAACAUGGGCGAACGCCCGAAAGGGUGGAACGUGCACAGGUGCUGCAUGGCUGUCGU
rnacentral:rRNA from 1 species